UGGAUCAAAUCAUAGGCACUAAUGCACCGGAUCCCAUCAGAACUCCGAAGUUAAGCGUGCUUGGGCGAGAGUAGUACUAGGAUGGGUGACCCCCUGGGAAGUCCUUAUGUUGCACCA
rnacentral:rRNA from 1 species